rnacentral:rRNA from 1 species
UACGUAGGGGGCUAGCGUUGUCCGGAAUCAUUGGGCGUAAAGCGCGCGUAGGCGGCCCGGUAAGUCCGCUGUGAAAGUCAAAGGCUCAACCGCAAGCGGUCGUGGGAAACUGGGUGGCUAGAGUGCGGGAGAGGAGAGUGGAAUUCCUGGUGUAGCGGUGGAAUGCGCAGAUAUCAGGAAGAACACCCGUGGCGAAGGCGGCUCUCUGGAACGCAACUGACGCUGAGACGCGAAAGCGUGGGGAGCAAACAGG